rnacentral:lncRNA from 1 species
ACUUUACUCUCCCCAACUUUAGAUUCCAAAACCAAAUUUAUUCAAUAAUGCUCCCUACUUAGACAUAAGCAAAAGGCAAAAUUUGCAAACAACUCGGUUUGAGGGUUCAAUUGAUACGAAAGAAAUUAGGAUUCAUUUAUUCCAAAAUUUUCAAUUGAUUUUACAAUGAUCAAUCAAAUGAAUCCUAAAAUAAGCUCAAAGGGGUUUAACUAAGGAUUACUCCUCACAAGGUUAGUUGAUUCAAACUUUUUGGUCAAGUGGUUUUU